rnacentral:rRNA from 1 species
GAUGAACGCUAGCGGCAGGCUUAAUACAUGCAAGUCGUGGGGCAGCAUGAGUAGCAAUACUUGAUGGCGACCGGCAAACGGGUGAGGGAACACGUACACAACCUUCCUUCAAGCGGGGAAUAGCCCAGAGAAAUUUGGAUUAAUACCCCAUAAUAUAUUUGAUAAGGCAUCUUAUUAAUAUUAAAGCUUCGGCACUUGAUGAUGGGUGUGCGGCUGAUUAGAUAGUUGGCGGGUAACGGCCCACCAAGUCUACGAUCAGUAGCUGAUGUGAGAGCAUGAUCAGCCACACGGGCACUGAGACACGGGCCCGACUCCUACGGGAGGCAGCAGUAAGGAAUAUUGGACAAUGGACGAAAGUCUGAUCCAGCCAUGCCGCGUGAAGGAUUAAGGUCCUCUGGAUUGUAAACUUCUUUAUAUGGGACGAAAAAGGGCAUUCUUGUUCACUUGACGGUACCAUAUGAAUAAGCACCGGCUAACUCCGUGCCAGCA